ensembl:lncRNA
UGGGGGCGGCCCGCUAGACGGCAGCCUGGGGGGGCGGCACGCUAGCGGUGUUUGAAUACUUGUUAACAGCUUGUUCCUUCUCUCCUCAGCGGACAGAACAGGAGCCCGAGACCCAGAAAAGACUGACGGAACCACCAUGGCUUAACCUGUGUCCCCACUAGACCCCUGACCCCCUCCCCUGUCCCCGACCCCCUCCCCUGUCCCCACAACCCACCCCCAGUCUCUCCCCGGCCUCUCUCCCAAUCUCUCCCGGCCUCCCCUCCAGUCUCUCCCCGGCCUCCCUAACCCUGUCCAUGUGAGGGGUUGGCAGCCCCCCCUAUCCCACUGGAGCCAUGAUGAACCUCCAGAAGCACCAAACCCUGGCUCUGACCGGACUUUCAGUCCUCCUCCUCAGUCAGCCUGCCCUCCGUCAAGAAGGCCCCCAGAAGAGACGCCUGUCCAUGGGGAACCUGUUCAGACGGCGCCCGGGACCCCAAGAGGAAGUCCCUGGCUCCAUGGGGAAGGAGGGGUGGAUGGUAUCGCCAGCAUAGACAGCAUCCCCUCAGACCUCACGCUGAACGAUUAGAACUCUGCCUUCUCAGUGGCCGGAGCUGCCUGCACCUCCUCCCUCGGGGCGUCAUCCUCCUCGCCUCCUCCUCUUCCUCCCGGGGUCGAGAGCUGCUGGAGUGCCCUCUGUGCCUUCUACGUCACUCUAGGGACAGUUUCCCAGACAUCAUGACCUGCCACCACCGCUCCUGUGCGGAUUGCCUGCGCCAGUACUUGCGAAUAGAGAUCAGUGGUCGCGCGUCAACAUCAGCUGUCCAGAGUGCUCUGAGCGGUUUCAACCCCACGACAUACAGCAUCAUCCUGGGAGACCAGCCCCUCAUGGAGAAGUACAGGAGUUCAUGUUGAGGCGAUGCUGGUGACCGACCCCGACUGUCGAUGGUGCCCCGCCAGACUGCGGGUAAGAACCUCCGCUCAGACACCCAUAGGGCAGACUGUACAACCUCAGCUCAGACACACAUAGGGCAGACUGUACACCUCAGCUCAGACACACAGGGCAGACUGCGGGUAAGGACCUCAGCUCAGACACACACAGGGCAGACGGGAAACCUCAGAACACACAGGGCAGACUGGAACCUCAGACACACACAGGCAGACUGGGAACCUCCAGACACCACAGGGCAGCUGGGAACCUCAGACAAACACAGGGCAGACUGGGAACCUCAGACACACACAGGGCAGACUGGGAACCUCAGCUCAGAUACACACACACAGGGCAGACUGGGAACCUCAGCUCAGAUACACACCAAACCAGGGCAGACUGGAACCUCAGCCGAUACACACACACAGGGCAGAUGGGAACCUCAGCUCAGAUACACACACCACAGGGCAGACUGGGAACCUCAGCUCAGAUACAACACCCACACAGGGCAGACUGGGAACCUCAGCUCAGAUACACACACACACAGGGCAGACUGGGAACCUCAGCUCAGAUACACACACACACAGGCAGACUGGGAACCUCAGCUCAGAUACACACACACACAGGGCAGACUGGGAACCUCAGCUCAGAUACACACACACAGGGCAGACUCGGGAACCUCAGCUCAGUACACACACACAGGGCAGACUGGGAACCUCAGCUCAGAUACACACACACAGGGCAGACUGGGACCUCAGCUCAGCUACACACACACAGGGCAGACUGGGAACCUCAGCUCAGAUACACACAACAGGGCAGACUGGGACCUCCGCUCAGUACACACACACAGGGCAGACUGGGAACCUCAGCUCAGAUACACACACACAGGGCAGACUGGGAACCUCAGCUCAGAUACCACACACAGGGCAGACUGGGAACUCAGCUCAGAUAACACACACAGGGCAGACUGGGAACCUCAGCUCAGAUAACACACACAGGGCAGACUGGGACCUCAGCUCAGUACACACAGGGAGACUGAACCUACUCAGACCACACACAGGGCAACUGGGAACCUCAGCUCAGAUCACACACAGGCAGCGCAGACUGGGAACCUCAGCUCAGACACCCACAAGCAGGAUGGAACCUCAGCUCCGAUACACACACACAGGGCAGGGGAACCUCAGUCAGAUACACACACACAGGGCAGACUGGGAACCUCAGCUCCAUACACACACACACGGGCAGACUGGGAACCUCAGCUCGAUACACACACAGGCAGACUGGAACCUCAGCCAGACACACCAGGGCGUGUCUGAGCUCAAAGUGCUGUACAGAAACCAGCCUAAAACCCCCAAACAGGAAGCAAUGCAGGUGUAAAGCACGGUGGCUAGGAAAAAACUCCCUAGAAAGGCCAAAACCUAGGAAGAAAACCUAGAGAGGAACCGGCUAUGUGGGGUGGCCAGUCCUCUUCUGGCUGUGCUGGUGGAGAUUAUAACAGAACAUGGCCAAGAUGUUCAAAUGUUCAUAAAUGACCAGCAUGGUCGAGAUAAUAAUAAGGCAGAACAGUUGAAACUGGAGCAGCAGCACGGUCAGGUGGACUGGGGACAACAAGGAGUCAUCAUGUCAGGUAGUCCUGAGGCAUGGUCCUAGGGCUCAGGUCCUCCGGAGGAGAGAAAGAAAAGAGGAAUUGAGAGGCACACUUAAUUCACACAGGCACAGAUAGGAUACCCAUAAUGUAUUGGGCCUAUAGCUUAC